CAAAUGCUUACAAAUCCUGCCAGGGCUUAUUUUACGGGUAGGUCUUAUUUUUGGGGAAACACGGUACUUCAUCAAGAAAUAUAUGGGAGGCAAAUAAACAUGUGCAAAGAUACUUAUCAGCGCUGCUGCUGCUGCCAUCACUGUCAGUAUGAGCAGUCUAGGGGACGCUUGCGCAGACGUGAAGCUCAAGUACCACCACUGCUUCAGUUGCUGGUUUGCCAAGAAGUUUCAAGGGGGACAGCUUGGGGAUCCAUGCACUGACCUAUUCAGGCAUUACCAGUAGUGUGUUAGAAAGCAAUAAAGGAGAAAGAGAUUCCCAUUGAAGGACUGGACUUCAUGGGCCAUGGCAAAGAAAAGCCUGAAAACUCUUCUUGACCUUGACAGUCACCUUGAAAAUGGAUUCCUCAAAUCAGGAAAUUAAGGACUCUGGAUUUUGUCAACUAAGGCUGUGAAUAUAGCCAUCAGAUUUGAUGAGGAAUUUAGGAGAGAGGAGUUUUAUUUCCUCCUCUUUGAUGUUUUCCUCUCACUUUUAAAAGGUAAUCAACUCUUUGCUUUGAGAUGAUUUCUCACUUGCUCUGGCAUCUUGCAGGAACUCAAUGUGCUAAAAUUGAAUAAUUUCUUGGGCUUAUGGUUGCAAUAUUUAGUCUGGGAUCAGCUUUACAUAUACUUUGUAUGUAGACAGCGAUGAACUAGUCAGGAUGAUCAAGAUUGCUUGACCUCUUGAUUUUCGUUGCAAUGGACAUUAUGUACACUGUGCUGGGCUCAUUGUUGAUGAAAGCAAUUCGUUAGGACCUCUUUUUUCUCUCAGGGAACUAAUGCUGUAAAAAGGGAUCUAGGCACAGUUUCAGUCAAUGCUUAGGAGCACAGUUUUAUUUUUAUAUAUUAUAGUAACUAAUGGUUAAGAUGACUGGUGGCCUGGAGUAGCAAAGAGGAAGACAGCUUUUAAUGGAUGGUUCCUGCCUUAAGGAGGCGCCACAUUAAAAUGUGAAAACUUCAAGAAUGUACAAGAAUGUUACACCAUUUGAGAGCUCACAGUGUAGUUCAGGAAUUAAGGUACUUGGAGUAGCUGUGGAGGAAGAACCUAAAUAGCAAAGAUUUGCUGUUGCCAGCUUUCAACCCAAGUCAGUGAAUUAAGUCAACCUGCAUAUCAUAAAAAUGCCAAAAUGCUGCAUCUGGUUAAAUGGGGGAGAAAAGGUGUUUGCUUUAUUUGCCUCGUUUACCCACUCUGCCCAGUAAUGUCUGUAAUCACGAAGAUGGAAUAAAUUGGAACAUUUAGUUUCUAUCAAAAAA